rfam:Nitratiruptor tergarcus DSM 16512 genome assembly, contig: NitteDRAFT_scaffold1.1
GGUCGCGUAGCUCAGGGGUAGAGCACUACGUUGACAUCGUAGUGGUCAGAGGUUCGAAUCCUCUCGCGACCA